CGAUCUUUGUUGCCCUCUUUUCUCAAAUUCUUUUUGUGACCAAAGAUUCGUAUAUGAGGUCAGCGUUUUAUUUUUUUUAAUUUCACCUUUGUUCUUUUCUUUAAUUUCCAUUUGUUCUGAUCAAACGGUGAACAAGUAUUAACUAUUGUAUAUGCAUAUAUUCACAUUCACGUAUACACACGUCACACUAUUUUUCUUUUAUUUUAACCCAAAGAAAAUCUUAUUUGAAAAGCAUGGACGAAGAAAUUAUACAAAGCCAUUCACACAAUGUUACUGUAACAUCCAUUCAAAACUACUAAUCUACUAAUGUUCCAAACCUGUGAAUAAAUCUUAACAUCGAUAUACCAUUCAAGACGAUCCAAAAUUUUACACUAUUUUUUUCAAACCAGAUCCAAAAUUAUACACCAUUUUUCAAACCAGAUCCAAAAUUAUCACAACAAUAGAACUAAUUCAGUCUUUAAUAGUUUUCCUUGUUCAGAAGAAUUGAGCCACAGUUUCACUAAAUUCAUCAUAAACUUCAAACCACCGUCAAAUUCAUCGCAUCAUCUUCAGAACCCAUCAAACACUUGGAUUCGUUUGUUUUGCAGGAAAUCAAAAGAAAUGCUAUGGUCCCUGCAUAACAUCAACAAGAGAAGGAAAUUCAAAGAACACAAAGAUUGAGAAGCAACAAAAUCAAUUCCAUAAAAUCUGUCUCCGAUUGCAAAGUCGCUCAAACUCCGAUGAAGCUCAGCACCGGAAUAGAUCCUUUUGCCGUUCGGAUCUCUCCCUCUCCACAACAACCAGCACCGUGACAACAAGCCAAGAUCCACACCACCGAUUCACAACUCAGAACCGAUUCAACACAACUUUCAUGAAAUCAUUAAUCAACUCAUGAUUUAAACCUUCACUUUUCUCAUUAUUAAUAUCAUGUAUGCACUGAUUUUCUUUUCUCAGGAAAGAACAUGAAUGGAUUCAAUGGAGUAAAAAAAACAGUAGAAGCUGCAAAAAUUCGAACACCAAAAGAAGCAAAAAGAAGAAUGCAAAUCCGGAUCCACCAUACGAACUUUUCACGCGAACAGAUUCGACAUAUGCCACCACUGCGGAUUCAAAGAUCUAACGCAGCGAACAACAACACCGUCACGACGACGACUCCCCACGCACUGGAUCUGCAAUCUCCGUGCGGAUUGCAUCAGAUUGAGGAUAGCGGCUUCGACUCGGUGAGGAUUAGCUCAUGAGUCAAUGUGUCAGUUAGCGUCGGGUCAUGCUCUGAUAGAUGUAACACUGGGGAACGUUGUUUUUAAGUUUAUGACAUUAACUCUGUUUUGUUUAAUUUAUUUGAGGAUUUAAGCAUUGAUGAUGUAAUGCUAGUUUGAUGAUUUAUUCCGCUGUGUUAACAUGAGAAAUUUGAUUCAUAAGUUAUGUUGAGAUGUUUCUUCAGUGAA